AACGAACGCUGGCGGCAGGCCUAACACAUGCAAGUCGAGCGCCCAGCAAUGGGAGCGGCAGACGGGUGAGUAACACGUGGGAACCUUCCCUAUAGUACGGAAUAGCCCAGGGAAACUUGGAGUAAUACCGCAUACGCCCGAGAGGGGAAAGAUUUAUCGCUAUAGGAUGGGCCCGCGUAGGAUUAGCUAGUUGGUGAGGUAAUGGCUCACCAAGGCGACGAUCCUUAGCUGGUCUGAGAGGACGACCAGCCACACUGGGACUGAGACACGGCCCAGACUCCUACGGGAGGCAGCAGUGGGGAAUAUUGGACAAUGGGGGCAACCCUGAUCCAGCAAUGCCGCGUGAGUGAUGAAGGCCUUAGGGUUGUAAAGCUCUUUUGCCAGGGAAGAUGAUGACUGUACCUGGAGAAUAAGCCCGGCUAACUUCGUGCCAGCAGCCG
rnacentral:rRNA from 1 species